CCAAUAGCGUAUAUUAAAGUUGUUGCAGUUAAAAAGCUCGUAGUUGAACUUCGGGGUUCACCCAUUGGUCAGGCUUAAUUGUCCGUACUGGUGAGAUGAGUCUCUACCUUCUGAGGAACUUUCAUGCCAUUUGUUUGGUGUGAUGGGAAAUCAGGACUGUUACUUUGAAAAAAUUAGAGUGUUUAAAGCAGGCUAACGUCUGAAUACAUUAGCAUGGAAUAAUGAAAUAGGACGGAUUGAUUCUAUUUCGUUGGUUUCUAGGGUCACCGUAAUGAUUAAUAGGGAUAGUUGGGGGCAUUAGUAUUCAAUUGUCAGAGGUGAAAUUCUUGGAUUUAUUGAAGACUAACUACUGCGAAAGCAUUUGCCAAGGAUGUUUUCAUUAAUCAAGAACGAAAGUUAGGGGAUCGAAGACGAUCAGAUACCGUCGUAGUCUUAACCAUAAACUAUGCCGACUAGGGAUCGGACGAAGUUAAUUUUAUAAUGACGCGUUCGGCACCUUACG
rnacentral:rRNA from 1 species